rnacentral:rRNA from 1 species
GACGGGGGGGGCAAGUGUUCUUCGGAAUGACUGGGCGUAAAGGGCACGUAGGCGGUGAAUCGGGUUGAAAGUGAAAGUCGCCAAAAAGUGGCGGAAUGCUCUCGAAACCAAUUCACUUGAGUGAGGCAGAGGAGAGUGGAAUUUCGUGUGUAGGGGUGAAAUCCGUAAAUAUACGAAGGAACGCCAAAAGCGAAGGCAGCUCUCUGGGUCCCUACCGACGCUGGGGUGCGAAAGCAUGGGGGAGCGAACAGG